GUACUACUCCUGAGAAAGCUGGCCCAUAGAGAGGAGUAAGGGAUACAGGCUUGCGUGAGCUGUGACUCAUCCUGGGUUCUUCUCAGUGCUGAGCACCAUCCAUCUAUAUCCACAGGCUGAAGGACACACCAGAUGCUGUCUUCGACCCUCCAACUCACAUUGCAUCUCCUCUAGAGUCCUGAGAGACGAAGCACGGGACAGGGACGUUUCCUUGGAUUAUGUUGGGAUGCUAGUCCUCAUCUCUUCGUUUUUCCUCAUAAGUCUCAAAUUACCUAGUGAAUAACCCAGCUCACAAUUCAUCUUCCCACAGCUUUGGAACAUCAGGCCAUUCUAACCUCACCCUUACUUCCACUUACACAUUGGACCCUCACACACUACCAGGAAGAGGAAAUAGCUAAGUAUCAGCUUGAACUUCCCCCGUCUUGGUUAAGUGUUGUCUGUCUGUGUCACAUGGAAACAAGGAGUGUGUGUUGUGUGUUACUCCCGGAGCUGCGGGUGGAGCCAGAGGAAGGUAGAGCCAGAGGAGGCUGAAGGGGAGGAGUGAGGCAAGAGCUGAGUUCAGAAGCACUAUGGUUGCUUAGUCUGGAAUUACCCAGCAAGUUAGAAGGGCCAAGGGCCAGAAUAGAGCUGGGGGUGGGAAAGCGGGCCAAGUCUGGUGGUGUUCUCUCUCUUGUGGCUAUUACACAAACAAAUAAAAUAGCAGCAAUGGAAAUGAGGGGGGAGGGGGGAGAAUCGCCACAGUCCUCCCCACUUACCACAUCAGAUGUUUUUAUUUUUCCAGGCCUCAGUGACAUUUAUGCAAAGAUGUUAUGCUGUGUGGUAAACACAAGCUCGGGCCCAGUUCCAACAUUCCAAAUUCAGCUGUUGUCCCUUAGGCUCACGGACAGAGCAUGUUUGCGUGUUGUAACACACACUUCGUCAGCUUAAUUACUACACAGCAUCUCACUGGGUGUUGUCACCAAUGCCACCAACAAUGGGCCUUUGUGGAAACCUUGGACUGUGAAUGUCGAUACUGAUAGUGAGACAGGGAACCCACACUGCUGACUUUCAGAGCUUUUAACUGUGUGAGAAGCUUCUGCGUGGCCCCAAUAGCUCUAGAACAACAGAGAAGGAAGUGUUAACCACUGAGUUGAGAACAUGGCUGGAUGAGCAGGGAAGACAGGAAGCUCAGGAUGGGUACCUGGAAUGGAGGGGCUACAGACCAUCCCAGAAGCAAUGUCUCCAAGGAGAGAAUAUGAAUGCAGUCCCCCACUACCACAAAUCAUGUAGUUGAGUUUCUUGAAUGUGAGGAGAUCUCAGGGUCAGCACAGCAGACUGCAGUAGAUGGGCCUUAUCCUGAGAAUGCCAUCUUCUUGACCUUGCCAUCUCCCAGGCUGGUGAACAUUACUGAUUAAUUUGUAAGACAGGGCCUGGCUACAUAGCCCAUGCUGGCCUUGAACCUGAAACCUACCUGCCUCAGUCUCCUUACAUCUGGCUUUAGGGUGUCAACUUUUUAAAAGCAUAUUAAAUAUAAUUAAUG